rnacentral:rRNA from 1 species
GAUGAACGCUCGCUACAGGCUUAACACAUGCAAGUCGAGGGGAAACGGCAUUAAGUGCUUGCACUUUUUGGACGUCGACCGGCGCACGGGUGAGUAACGCGUAUCCAACCUUCCCAUGACUAAGGGAUAACCUGCCGAAAGGCAGACUAAUACCUUAUGGUCUUCACUGACGGCAUCAGAUGUGAAGUAAAGAUUUAUCGGUUAUGGAUGGGGAUGCGUCUGAUUAGCUUGUUGGCGGGGUAACGGCCCACCAAGGCAACGAUCAGUAGGGGUUCUGAGAGGAAGGUCCCCCACAUUGGAACUGAGACACGGUCCAAACGCCUACGGGAGGCAGCAGUGAGGAAUAUUGGUCAAUGGGCGAGAGCCUGAACCAGCCAAGUAGCGUGCAGGAUGACGGCCCUAUGGGUUGUAAACUGCUUUUGUAUGGGGAUAAAGUCAAUCACGUGUGAUUGUUUGCAGGUACCAUACGAAUAAGGACCGGCUAAUUCCGUG